CUUUCCCACCCCAUGACAUGGACCCAGAAAUGGGCAGUGUGAAGAAAGCGGAGAUGACUUCACAACUACAGCGCCAUGAAGCACCGGGAUCAUCUAACCGUAAAGGUAUAAAAACACAAAACCCUCCAAAUGUUUUCACCGCGACAAACAACAUGUAAUGUAAUGAUCGAUGUAAGAAACUCACUGAGCUGCUUCAAUUCAGUUUAAAUAUUGGAAUUGGGGGCAGAUAGCUGUUUUUCUUUAUGUUUGAAUCGCUUCAUACUUUUUUCCCAUCCCCACAUUUAGGUAUGGAUCCCUCAUCGACUGCUUCUUUAAAGACGAAGGUGCAAAAACAUCAGAUCAAGUUUGAUGCUGAAGACGACUGCAGAGAGAAAACAGUGAGGUUCACUGCUGACGAUGCAGCUAUGGAUGUGACAAGGAGUCACACUGUAAACAUUGCCACUGACUUACCACCACAGUCUUACCACAAUGUGGGAAUGUUACCUGCAUACGGAGAGAAAACCAUGAGGUUCACUGCAACUGAUGCAGCUAUGGAUGUGACAAGGAAGUCACACUGUAAGCAUUGCCACUGACUUAGAACUGCAAUCAAACCAAAAUCUGGACUUUUUACCUGCUUGCGGAGAGAAAACGGUGAGGU
rnacentral:lncRNA from 1 species